CCGAACCGACUAAUGUUGAAAAAUUAGCGGAUGACCUGUGGCUGGGGGUGAAAGGCCAAUCAAACCGGGAGAUAGCUGGUUCUCCCCGAAAGCUAUUUAGGUAGCGCCUCGUGAAUUCAUCUCCGGGGGUAGAGCACUGUUUCGGCUAGGGGGCCAUCCCGGCUUACCAACCCGAUGCAAACUGCGAAUACCGGAGAAUGUUAUCACGGGAGACACACGGCGGGUGCUAACGUCCGUCGUGAAGAGGGAAACAACCCAGACCGCCAGCUAAGGUCCCAAAGUCAUGGUUAAGUGGGAAACGAUGUGGGAAGGCCCAGACAGCCAGGAUGUUGGCUUAGAAGCAGCCAUCAUUUAAAGAAAGCGUAAUAGCUCACUGGUCGAGUCGGCCUGCGCGGAAGAUGUAACGGGGCUAAACCAUGCACCGAAGCUGCGGCAGCGACACUGUGUGUUGUUGGGUAGGGGAGC
rnacentral:rRNA from 2 species